GACGUAGGGCGCGAGCGUUGUCCGGAUUUAUUGGGCGUAAAGAGCUCGUAGGCGGCUUGUCGCGUCGACUGUGAAAACCCGCGGCUUAACUGCGGGACUGCAGUCGAUACGGGCAGGCUAGAGUUCGGUAGGGGAGACUGGAAUUCCUGGUGUAGCGGUGAAAUGCGCAGAUAUCAGGAGGAACACCCGUGGCGAAAGCGGCUCUCUGGAACGGUACUGACGCUGAGACGCGAAAGCGUGGGGAGCGAACAGG
rnacentral:rRNA from 1 species